UACGUAGGGUGCAAGCGUUGUCCGGAAUUAUUGGGCGUAAAGAGCUCGUAGGCGGUCUGUCGCGUCGGCUGUGAAAUCCCGGAGCUCAACUCCGGGUCUGCAGUCGAUACGGGCAGACUGGAGUACUGCAGGGGAGACUGGAAUUCCUGGUGUAGCGGUGAAAUGCGCAGAUAUCAGGAGGAACACCGGUGGCGAAGGCGGGUCUCUGGGCAGUAACUGACGCUGAGGAGCGAAAGCGUGGGGAGCGAACAGG
rnacentral:rRNA from 1 species